GUGAAUCAUCGAAUCUUUGAACGCACCUUGCGCUCCUCGGUGUUCCGAGGAGCAUGCCUGUUUGAGUGUCAGUAAAUUCUCAACCCCUCUCGAUUUGCUUCGAGCGGGUGCUUGGAUGUUGGGGGCUGCCGGAGACACUGGAUUCGUCCAGGACUCGGGCUCCUCUUAAAUGAAUCGGCUCGCGGUCGACUUUCGACUUUGCAUGACAAGGCCUUUGGCGUGAUAAUGAUCGCCGUUCGCCGAAGUGCAAGACAGAAUGGUCCCGUGCCUCUAAUGCGUCGACGCCUCUAGGGGCGUCUU
rnacentral:misc_RNA from 1 species